AUCACUCUCUCCUGCUGCCACGUGAAGAAGAUAUUUGCUUCCCCUUUGCCUUCCACCAUGAUUGUAAGUUUCCUGAGGCCUCCCAUUCAUGCUUCCUGUUAAGCCUGCAGAACCGCUUGGGUCCCAGCUCCAAAAUGUCUCAUUAUCUGUAUUUGAAUAUCCCCAAAUUUGAAAAAUUCAAAAUCUGAAACACUUCUGAUCCCAAGCAUUUCAGACUCCUAAGAGUUAAUACGAAGUAGAAAGAGAAGUUGGAGUUAAGCAGCUCGUUCCAGUUCUGAUUUUGCCAUUUCCUGUCUGAGUGACCUGACUUCCCUCUCUGCCUCCAGCCAUGACUGUAAGUUUCCUGAGGCCCUCACCAGAAGCCGAGCAGAUGUUGGUGCCAUGCUUAUACAGCCUGAAGAACUGUGAGCUGAUUAAAUUUAUUUUCUUUAUAAAUUACCCAGCCUCAGGUGUUUCUUUUGUUUUGAAACAGAGUCUCGUUCUGUCACCCAGGCUGGAGUACAGUGGCGCAAUCUUGGCUCACUGCAACCUCCACCUCCCACAUUCAAGCGAUUCUCCUGUCUCAUACCCCCAAGUAGCUGGGAUUACAGUGUGCACCACCACACCUGGCUAAAUUUUGUAAUUUUAGUAGAGACAGGGUUUUGCUAUGUUGGCCAGGCUGGUCUUAAACUUCUGACCUGAAGUGAUCUGCCUGCCUCAGCCUCCCAAAGUGCUGGGAGUACACGAAUGAUCCACUGUGCCCAGCUAGGUAUUUCUUUACAGCAACGCAAAUGGCCUAACACGAAAAAUUGGUACUGAGGUAUGGGGUGUUGCUAUAACAAUACCUGAAAAUGUGGAAGUGGGUUCAUAACUGGGUAACAGGCAGAGCCUGGAAGAUUUUGAAGGGGUCAUCAGAAGACAGGAAGAUGAGGGAAGGUUUGGAACUUCUUAGAGACUGAUUAAAUGGUUGUGACUAAAAUGCUGAUAGAAAUAUGGAUGGUGAAGGCCGGGCUGACAUGGUCUCAGAUGGAAAGGAGGAAUUUAUAGGAACUGGAGCAAAGGUUACUCAUAUUAUGCCCUAGCAAAGAACCUGGCUGCAUAGUGUCCAUGCUAGGGCUUUGUGGAAGUUUGAACUUGAGAGCAAUGACCUAGGGUAUCUGGUGGAGAAAAUUUCUAAGCAGCAAAGUGUUCAAGAGGUGGUUUGGCUGCUGCUAACAACCUACAAUCAAACAUUGGAGCAAAGGAAUGACUUAGAGUUGGAAUUUAUAAUUACAAGGGAAGCACAGCAUAGUUUGGAAAAUUUGCAGCCUGGCCCUUUGGUAGAGAAGAAAUUCGAGGGGCUAUGGAACAAC
rnacentral:lncRNA from 1 species